rnacentral:tRNA from 1 species
CGGAAAGAGUAGGAAUCGAACCAACAAUCCCAAAAGGGAACCAACCUUCCAAAUUGGCGCAAUAACCAUUCUGCCAUCUUUCC